AUGUGCUUCAACAAUGUGUUCCUAGGUUGCAAUUCAAGACUCAAUCAAUAUAUAUGGCAAUAUCUAACAAAGCAUUUAUCAUACAAUAUACAACCAAUUUCUCAAGUCACUCAAUAUGUCCACAAAUUUAUCAACUCAAUCUAUUUAACCAACAUUCACUAUCAUGUAUAUGAGAAAAGAAAUUUAAAUUGCAUAAAAGUAAAGAGGUAAAGGUUAGAGAAAUCAAACACAAGGAUUUUAUAGUGGUUCGGCUUAGCUAGCCUACAUCCACUCUCUCAA
rnacentral:misc_RNA from 1 species